rnacentral:misc_RNA from 1 species
UUGUUUGACGCUAUUUUGGUUAGAUCGACGCGUUGGCGUGUGAGUGGCCUAUUGAAUGUUUGUGUUGGUUGGCUCCCUGCUUGCGCAGCGAACGGUUGACGCAUACAUAUUUCAGUCGGAUCGGUGAUGUGUUUGUUGGAUUUUUGUGUUGUCAACCCAAAUGAUGGAAUUCUUAUGACUCGCUGCGUUUGCUUUGCCGAGCUCCCUUUGAGGUGCUAGGUUGACGGUUAAGUUGCCCCUAUUUUUCGGCCAUGCUCUUCCCUUUUUGGGAACCAUGGAAAAUUAUGUGGUAUCGCUUGUUGCCUUGGUUGCGAAGCACGAAGCGAGCAUGAUGCCUGUCAUCAUUUGCUCAUUCGGAGCUCUCGUUUGCUCGAAAAGAUAGACUGUUGUGCUUGG